ensembl:misc_RNA
CUGAUAGUCCUUGAAACCAAAGUCCUUUGUUAAUUCACAGAGAGCUGGUAGAGCAAGAGGGGUGGGGACUUUUCUUGACCUGCACGUAUGCCUCAGCCCUUAUCUAGGGAGAACAUUUCUGGGAUGAGGGAAAACAUGGGCUGCUGUGCCAAGUCAGCUUCUGCCCCUC